rnacentral:rRNA from 1 species
GAUGAAGAACGCAGCGAAAUGCGAUAAGUAAUGUGAAUUGCAGAAUUCAGUGAAUCAUCGAAUCUUUGAACGCACCUUGCGCUCCUUGGUAUUCCGAGGAGCAUGCCUGUUUGAGUGUCAUUAAAUUCUCAACCUCACCAGUUUUGUCAUGAGACUGUGUA